rnacentral:snoRNA from 1 species
AUGCUUCUAUUUGACAGACCUGCAGCAAUUGCCUUUUUGCUGCCAGUUCUUGCGACAGAAGCAAGAAAAAAGUGUCCUCAUAUUUUCUGAUUAUGGUAUCCCAGAUGGGAUGGGAGGAUACAGGA